rnacentral:lncRNA from 12 species
CCCCCCUUGGGCUUUCAAUUUUUUUUCCGAAUUUUUGGGGGGGAAAUUUAUUUUUCCGUUUUAUUUUUGGGGGGGGGGGGGGGGGGGUUUGACCAACGUUUUUCUUUUUCUUUUUUUUUUUUCCCAGCACCCAGAGUGAAGGGAGAAAAUAGGUGUUCAAAAUAAUCACGUUAAACUUCGGAUUCUUUUUCCAAUUAAAGUUAUUUCAUAAGGUCCGGGAUCAGGGAUUUAACGGGUGAUAGGGUUUGUGGGGAGGUGUUGGGGGGGGGGGGCGCAGAUCACCAGGGUUGCCUCCAUUUAAAAUAACGCCAUCUUAGGUUGGGAGACUUGCUGUAUUUUGACUCUCUAAAUUCACGUUUCGAUCAUUUCUCGGGGGUCUAAGUGAUAGAUGCUGCGGCUUGGAAGUACAGCCGCGGCGGGCAGGGGGAACCGACUUUCAGCGCUCGGCGGCGGCGCGGGCCCUAAGAGUGGGGGGUGGGUGGGGGGUGGCGCAGGCUGGAGAGGCGGGGGGUGCGCGGUCGGGGUGGCCUCCGCGGCGCCGGCCCAGGCGCUCUGCAACUCCGCUCGGGGAGGAGAGGGUUAAAAACCAGAGUCUGACUUUGCCUCUUGGAAAGCUUAGGGUUGCAGCCGCGCCUCCCAAGCAUUCUUUAAACCAGAAAUGUGGGAGGGACUCGGCGAGGGAGGGAGGGAGGGAAGGAGGGGGACGGAGAAAGAGGGCUCGAGUUGGGGAGCGCGCCAGAGCGCGAGGGACGGAGCGCGAGGAGGAGCGCGGGAGCCGCGCCGGCGAUCCCGCGAAUUCAUUACUAUUGCAGAUUGAGCUUAACCAAGAAGUUCAGAGUCUCAUCAACGCUGACCUGAUCUCCAGCACGAGAAGGGAGUUCUAGUUCUGCCUGCCUCGUUGGGUCCCUGUUGACCGCUGAUAACUUGGCUUCACUCAUCGCCUGUGUGGAAAAUUCUCCCUAUUGAAAUUAUUAUUAUUAUUAUUGUUAUUAUUAUUAUUAUUAUUGUUAUUUUUGCACAUGGAGGACGGUAACAAAGAAGGCAACACAGGCUGAUAAGACCAGAGACCACAGGAGAAUUCUUUAACCGCAGGCCUUCGAGACUUUUCCUCCACUUGGAGUUCUGGACUUUAACAGAACCCCGUCUAGUCAUUUUGGUUUUGCUAUAUAUAUAUAUAUUUUUUUUCUUCCUUUUUACUUUCCCCACCACCUUGUAU